AUUGAACGCUGGCGGCAGGCCUAACACAUGCAAGUCGAACGGUAGCACAGAGAGCUUGCUCUUGGGUGACGAGUGGCGGACGGGUGAGUAAUGUCUGGGAAACUGCCUGAUGGAGGGGGAUAACUACUGGAAACGGUAGCUAAUACCGCAUAACGUCGCAAGACCAAAGAGGGGGACCUUCGGGCCUCUUGCCAUCAGAUGUGCCCAGAUGGGAUUAGCUAGUAGGUGGGGUAACGGCUCACCUAGGCGACGAUCCCUAGCUGGUCUGAGAGGAUGACCAGCCACACUGGAACUGAGACACGGUCCAGACUCCUACGGGAGGCAGCAGUGGGGAAUAUUGCACAAUGGGCGCAAGCCUGAUGCAGCCAUGCCGCGUGUAUGAAGAAGGCCUUCGGGUUGUAAAGUACUUUCAGCGAGGAGGAAGGCGAUACGGUUAAUAACCGUGUCGAUUGACGUUACUCGCAGAAGAAGCACCGGCUAACUCCGUGCCAGCCGCCGCGGUAA
rnacentral:rRNA from 1 species